GACGAACGCUGGCGGCGUGCUUAACACAUGCAAGUCGAACGGAAAGGCCCUGCUUUUGUGGGGUGCUCGAGUGGCGAACGGGUGAGUAACACGUGAGUAACCUGCCCUUGACUUUGGGAUAACUUCAGGAAACUGGGGCUAAUACCGGAUAGGAGCUCCUGCUGCAUGGUGGGGGUUGGAAAGUUUCGGCGGUUGGGGAUGGACUCGCGGCUUAUCAGCUUGUUGGUGGGGUAGUGGCUUACCAAGGCUUUGACGGGUAGCCGGCCUGAGGGGGUGACCGGCCACAUUGGGACUGAGAUACGGCCCAGACUCCUACGGGAGGCAGCAGUGGGGAAUAUUGCACAAUGGGCGGAAGCCUGAUGCAGCAACGCCGCGUGCGGGAUGACGGCCUUCGGGUUGUAAACCGCUUUCGCCUGUGACGAAGCGUGAGUGACGGUAAUGGGUAAAGAAGCACCGGCUAACUACGUGCCAGCAGCCGCGGUGAUACGUAGGGUGCGAGCGUUGUCCGGAUUUAUUGGGCGUAAAGGGCUCGUAGGUGGUUGAUCGCGUCGGAAGUGUAAUCUUGGGGCUUAACCCUGAGCGUGCUUUCGAUACGGGUUGACUUGAGGAAGGUAGGGGAGAAUGGAAUUCCUGGUGGAGCGGUGGAAUGCGCAGAUAUCAGGAGGAACACCAGUGGCGAAGGCGGUUCUCUGGGCCUUUCCUGACGCUGAGGAGCGAAAGCGUGGGGAGCGAACAGGCUUAGAUACCCUGGUAGUCCACGCUGUAAACGGUGGGUACUAGGUGUGGGGUCCAUUCCACGGGUUCCGUGCCGUAGCUAACGCUUUAAGUACCCCGCCUGGGGAGUACGGCCGCAAGGCUAAAACUCAAAGGAAUUGACGGGGCCCCGCACAAGCGGCGGAGCAUGCGGAUUAAUUCGAUGCAACGCGUAGAACCUUACCUGGGUUUGACAUGGAUCGGGAGUGCUCAGAGAUGGGUGUGCCUCUUUUGGGGUCGGUUCACAGGUGGUGCAUGGCUGUCGUCAGCUCGUGUCGUGAGAUGUUGGGUUAAGUCCCGCAACGAGCGCAACCCUUGUUCACUGUUGCCAGCACGUUAUGGUGGGGACUCAGUGGAGACCGCCGGGGUCAACUCGGAGGAAGGUGGGGAUGACGUCAAGUCAUCAUGCCCCUUAUGUCCAGGGCUUCACGCAUGCUACAAUGGCCGGUACAGAGAGUGGCGAGCCUGUGAGGGUGAGCGAAUCUCGGAAAGCCGGUCUCAGUUCGGAUUGGGGUCUGCAACUCGACCUCAUGAAGUCGGAGUCGCUAGUAAUCGCAGAUCAGCAACGCUGCGGUGAAUACGUUCCCGGGGCU
rnacentral:rRNA from 1 species